rnacentral:lncRNA from 1 species
UGCAGAUACUCAAGAUCACACCAUCCUCUCUCCCUUCAAAAAGAUUUGACCUCAAAUCUUGUUUUUCAGGAGUGAAGAAACCUUGCAGAUCAAGCUUGUAUGUAACUGUUUUCUGCACCAGAUUGUUGUUACUUCUUAUACUAACACUGAAGCUUCCUCCUGGUUCAAAAACAACUUUCUGCAAGCCCUUAACAUCUCUCAAAUACUCCACUAAGCUGGUCUGGAAGUCUAAAG